rnacentral:rRNA from 1 species
UACAUAGGUGACAAGCGUUAUCCGGAAUUACUGGGCGUAAAGCGUACGCAGGCGGCGCAUUAGGUCUGAUGUGAAAUCUCCCGGCUUAACUGGGAGGGGUCAUUGGAAACUGAUGUGCUCGAGGCGGUGAGAGGGGUGUAGAAUUCCCGGUGUAGUGGUGGAAUGCGUAGAUAUCGGGAGGAAUACCAGUGGCGAAAGCGGCACCCUGGCACUAGCCUGACGCUCAUGUGCGAAGGCGUGGGGAGCGAACGGG